rnacentral:rRNA from 1 species
CCUACGGGAGACAGCAGUGAGGAAUAUUGGUCAAUGGACGAGAGUCUGAACCAGCCAAGUAGCGUGAAGGAUGACUGCCCUAUGGGUUGUAAACUUCUUUUAUAUGGGAAUAAAAUGUUCCACGUGUGGGAUUUUGUAUGUACCAUAUGAAUAAGGAUCGGCUAACUCCGUGCCAGCAGCCGCGGUAAUACGGAGGAUCCGAGCGUUAUCCGGAUUUAUUGGGUUUAAAGGGAGCGUAGGUGGAUUGUUAAGUCAGUUGUGAAAGUUUGCGGCUCAACCGUAAAAUUGCAGUUGAAACUGGCAGUCUUGAGUACAGUAGAGGUGGGCGGACUUCGUGGUGUAGCGGUGACAUGCUUAGAUAUCACGAAGAACUCCGAUUGCGAAGGCAGCUCACUGGACUGCAACUGACACUGAGGCUCGAAAGUGUGGGUAUCAAACAGGAUUAGAUACCCGAGUAGUC